rnacentral:rRNA from 1 species
ACACCAGCACCUCAAGUGGUCAGGAUGAUUAUUGGGCCUAAAGCAUCCGUAGCCGGCUCUGUAAGUUUUCGGUUAAAUCUGUACGCUCAACGUACAGGCCGCCGGGAAUACUGCAGAGCUAGGGAGUGGGAGAGGUAGACGGUACUCGGGAGGAAGUGGUAAAAUGCUUUGAUCUCUCGAUGACCACCAGUGGCGAAGGCGGUCUACCAGAACACGUUCGACGGUGAGGGAUGAAAGCUGGGGGAGCAAACCGGAUUAGAAACCCGGGUAGUCC